rnacentral:rRNA from 1 species
CAUGGCUCAGAUUGAACGCUGGCGGCAGGCUUAACACAUGCAAGUCGAGCGGGGUGAUGUAGCUUGCUACAUUACCUAGCGGCGGACGGGUGAGUAAUGCUUAGGAAUCUGCCUAUUAGUGGGGGACAACAUUCCGAAAGGAAUGCUAAUACCGCAUACGCCCUACGGGGGAAAGCAGGGGAUCUUCGGACCUUGCGCUAAUAGAUGAGCCUAAGUCAGAUUAGCUAGUUGGUGGGGUAAAGGCCUACCAAGGCGACGAUCUGUAGCGGGUCUGAGAGGAUGAUCCGCCACACUGGGACUGAGACACGGCCCAGACUCCUACGG